rnacentral:rRNA from 1 species
AACGAACGCUGGCGGCAUGCCUAACACAUGCAAGUCGAACGAUACCUUCGGGCAGAUUGGUGCACCGCUGACUAACGCGUGGGAACCUGCCCUUAGGUUCGGAAUAACCUGCCGAAGGGGGUUCUAAUCCCGGAACAUGUCCUCAGACCAAAGAUGUAUGGCCUUUGGAUGGGCCGGCGUCGGAUUAGCUAGUUGGUAGGGUAAGAGCCUAUGAAGGCGACGAUCCAUAGCUGGUCUGAGAGGAUGAUCAGCCACACUGUGACUGGGACACGGCCGAGACUACUACGGGAGGGGGCAGAGGGGAAUGUUGGAAUAUGGCGGGUAGGAUGAAGCAGCUAGGGUGGGAGAGUGAUGUAGGCCGGAGGGUAGGAAAGAUCUUUUACACGGGAGGAUAUUGACGGUACCGGGAGAAGAAGCACCGGCUAACUCCGUG